UGUGCCUUCCACCUACAGUCAGAAUUCUAGGAAAAUGCCCUCCUCCUUUUAUAUGCUGUGCCAAUUUUCCAAAACCUGAUUCAAUGGAAUGAGAGUAUGCUGACUGAAAAAAUGGUCGAAACUGCUUGGCUACAAAUUAUGUGAUAUCAAUGGUUACUGUGUUUUCUGCUGAGAUACACAUUUUCCCUUCUUGCGUAAGAAAAGCUGCUGAGAUACAUUUUAGUUUUUCUUCAUGUUUUACAAAAGCUCCUUAAUUGAAGGCAAAAAUGCACAAUGUAAAACCAAAUACAGUUCCCAUUAAUGUAUGUUUAUGAUUUAGAAUAAAUAACCAAUAUCCACAUACUGUUAACAAGUUUCAACUCCGAUUGUUCAACGUCAAUGUGAAACAUUCUGACAUCCAAAUGUAAUAAUUGCUUUCAACACUUGCUUACAGAACCCUUGCCAAUAAAAUUGUUCAUUUGGCAUACCA